GAUGAACGCUGGCGGCGUGCCUAAUACAUGCAAGUCGAACGAUGAAGCCGGAGCUUGCUCUGGUGAAUUAGUGGCGAACGGGUGAGUAACACGUGAGUAACCUGCCCUUGACUCUGGGAUAACUGCGGGAAACUGUAGCUAAUACCGGAUACGACCCUCGGCGGCAUCGCCAGGGGGUGGAAAGAAUUUCGGUCAAGGAUGGACUCGCCGCCUAUCAGCUAGUUGGUGAGGUAACGGCUCACCAAGGCGACGACGGGUAGCCGACCUGAGAGGGGGACCGGCCACACUAGGACGGAGACACGGACCAGACUCAGACGGGAGGCAGCAGGGGGGAAGAUUGCACAAUGGGCGCAAGGCAGAUGCAUCAACGCCGCGUGAGGGAUGACGGCCUUCGGGUUGUAAACCACUUUUAGUAGGGAAGAAGCGAAAGUGACGGUACCUGCAGAAAAAGCACCGGCUAACUACGUGCCAGCAGCCGCAGUAA
rnacentral:rRNA from 1 species